UACGUAGGGUGCAAGCGUUGUCCGGAAUUAUUGGGCGUAAAGAGCUCGUAGGCGGUCUGUCGCGUCUGCUGUGAAAACUCAGGGCUUAACCCUGAGCUUGCAGUGGGUACGGGCAGACUAGAGUGCGGUAGGGGAGACUGGAAUUCCUGGUGUAGCGGUGGAAUGCGCAGAUAUCAGGAGGAACACCGGUGGCGAAGGCGGGUCUCUGGGCAGUAACUGACGCUGAGGAGCGAAAGCGUGGGGAGCGAACAGG
rnacentral:rRNA from 1 species